CGAACGUUGGCGGCGUGGUUCAGGCAUGCAAGUCGAACGAGCACCUUCGGGUGCGAGUGGCGGACGGGUGAGUAAUGCAUGGACAACCUGCCCUUGAGAUGGGGACAACUUUCCGAAAGGGGAGCUAAUACCCAAUAACGUCGACGGCCACAAGGUCGUUGACCAAAGAUUGCCUCUGACUCAAGCUUUCGCUCAAGGAGGGGUUUAUGUCCUAUUAGCUUGUUGGUGAGGUAACGGCUCACCAAGGCUGCGAUGGGUAGCCGACCUGAGAGGGUGAGCGGCCACACUGGGACUGAGACACUGCCCAGACUCCUACGGGAGGCUGCAGUCGAGAAUCUUCCGCAAUGCGCGCAAGCGUGACGGAGCGACGCCGCGUGGGCGAUGAAGGCCUUCGGGUUGUAAAGCCCUGUUUCCCGCUAAGAACCACAGGCGGUGAAUAGCUGUCCUGUGUGACGUCAGCGGGGGAGGAAGCACCGGCUAAAUACGUG
rnacentral:rRNA from 1 species